rnacentral:rRNA from 1 species
GGUUAAGUGACUAAGCGUACACGGUGGAUGCCUUGGCAGUCAGAGGCGAUGAAGGACGUAGUAACUUGCGAUAAGCGUAGAUGAGGCAGUAACAGCCACUUGAGUCUACGAUUUCCGAAUGGGGAAACCCACUGGCAUAAGCCAGUAUCAUUGAGUGAAUACAUAGCUCAAUGAAGCGAACCGGGAGAACUGAAACAUCUAAGUACCCCGAGGAAAAGAAAUCAACCGAGAUUCCGAAAGUAGCGGCGAGCGAAAUUGGAUUAGCCCUUAAGCUUUACAUGUGUUAGACGAACGGUCUGGAAAGUCCGACGAUACAGGGUGAUAGUCCCGUAGUUGACGAUGCAUGUUCAGUGAAAUCGAGUAGGGCGGGACACGUGUUAUCCUGUCUGAAUAUGGGGGGACCAUCCUCCAAGGCUAAAUACUCCUGACUGACCGAUAGUGAACCAGUACCGUGAGGGAAAGGCGAAAAGAACCCCUGUGAGGGGAGUGAAAUAGAACCUGAAACCGUGUACGUACAAGCAGUAGGAGCACCUUCGUGGUGUGACUGCGUACCUUUUGUAUAAUGGGUCAGCGACUUAUAUUCAGUGGCAAGGUUAACCAUCUAGGGGAGCCGUAGGGAAACCGAGUCUUAACUGGGCGCCAUAGUCUCUGGAUAUAGACCCGAAACCGAGUGAUCUAGCCAUGGGCAGGUUGAAGGUUGAGUAACAUCAACUGGAGGACCGAACCGACUAAUGUUGAAAAAUUAGCGGAUGACUUGUGGCUAGGGGUGAAAGGCCAAUCAAACUCGGAGAUAGCUGGUUCUCCCCGAAAGCUAUUUAGGUAGCGCCUCGGACGAAUACUACUGGGGGUAGAGCACUGUUAAGGCUAGGGGGUCAUCCCGACUUACCAACCCUUUGCAAACUCCGAAUACCAGUAAGUACUAUCCGGGAGACACACGGCGGGUGCUAACGUCCGUCGUGGAGAGGGAAACAACCCAGACCGCCAGCUAAGGUCCCAAAUUACAGCUAAGUGGGAAACGAUGUGGGAAGGCUUAGACAGCUAGGAUGUUGGCUUAGAAGCAGCCAUCAUUUAAAGAAAGCGUAAUAGCUCACUAGUCGAGUCGGCCUGCGCGGAAGAUGUAACGGGGCUAAGUU